UCCCCUACUAAUGUGGCUAAUGCUGCUAAAC
rnacentral:piRNA from 1 species